UACGUAGGGUGCGAGCGUUGUCCGGAAUUACUGGGCGUAAAGAGCUCGUAGGUGGUUUGUCGCGUUGUUCGUGAAAACUCACAGCUUAACUGUGGGCGUGCGGGCGAUACGGGCAGACUGGAGUACUGCAGGGGAGACUGGAAUUCCUGGUGUAGCGGUGAAAUGCGCAGAUAUCAGGAGGAACACCGGUGGCGAAGGCGGAUCUCUGGGCCAUUACUGACGCUGAGGAGCGAAAGCGUGGGGAGCGAACAGG
rnacentral:rRNA from 1 species